UUCUCUCCCUUUCUUCCUCCCUUUUUCUCCUCUUUUCAUCCUUCCUUUCUUUUUUCAGAGAGGGAAAACAAUUUUCAUUGUUAAAAGCAUUAGGUCAAGACAAACCAGCAUCACCAUAAGCAGCCAUUUCCUCGAUGGAGACUUUGCCCAAGGGUUACAGCUGAGACAGUCACGUGGCUGCCCGGGCUGUCUGCUCCCCACUAUUGCUAUUUCCCUCUUGUCUCCUUCCUGUCAUAAGCCAUUAGAUAGCCUCAGAGAUUUCAGAAACCCCGUUUUAGUCUAUAUCUUCUGCCCUCGUACAAAAACAAGAUGAUUCUUAUCUUGGGCUUCAGCCUUUUAUUUUUCUGUAAAGAUACAGUGUGUAACACAUUGACCCAGAGACCCCUGGACCAGAUGGUGGAAAGUGGCAGCGAGACAACGUUGUUCUGCACCUAUAGUACUGAAAUCUCAGAUCCAGAUUUGUACUGGUACCGAAAAAUGGCAGAUCAGUCCUUGCAGUUCAUCCUUUACAGAGAUAAUACCAGAUCUCUUGAUGCAGAUUUUGUUCAAGGUCGAUUUUUUGUGAAGCAUAGUCAGACCCAUAAAACUUUCCACUUGGUCAUCUCCCCUGUGAGGAUGGAAGACCAGGCGACUUACUACUGUGCUUUAAGUUCCCACAGUGAUACAGGUGCUUGGGGAGUCUGCACACAAACCCCUGGGCACAGCUCGGCAGAGCCACCUCCAGGGUGAUGUUAUGUCCUGGGCCUGGUUUCUUUCUCUCAGUCAUCUGGGGGGCUAGCCUGGCCUUUAGAAGUGCCCAAUGUGACAACUGAUUAAUCAAAAGCCCACUUAUAUCCAGGGAACACUCUGGCUUCCAAAGAGCAGAGUAUCUCCCACUUCUGACCCAGUGGGCCCUCACCCCCUGAGCACCUUGUGAUUGGCAAUGGACAGGUGCAGGGCUGAGUGUGCACUGUCUUUGUGUUCUGACAUUGUGCUGUGUUAGCCACGAGGGUGUCAGAACGGUGCAGGGGAAUGGUGUGGGGCCAGUCAUAAGAGUGGCCAUUGGCAGGGUUUUUAUUUUAAUCUCCAUCAUCAUUUAUUCAUUAUUGUGAGUUGGCCUGUUUUCAUCUUUCAAACCAAGUUGGACACAGAGUUAGGAAAUUAAAAAAAUUAAAAUUAAAAGUUUUUCUAAUUUACCUUUUGUCUACGUCUUAGUAUGUUUAGCUACCUUACUACCUCUGGGUGUCCUCUGAUGCUUGUGCUUUUCUUACUUUAC